rnacentral:rRNA from 1 species
UACGAAGGGGGCUAGCGUUGCUCGGAAUCACUGGGCGUAAAGCGCACGUAGGCGGACUUUUAAGUCGGAGGUGAAAUCCUGGAGCUCAACUCCAGAACUGCCUUCGAUACUGAGAGUCUUCGAGUUCGGGAGAGGUGAGUGGAACUGCGAGUGUAGAGGUGAAAUUCGUAGAUAUUCGCAAGAACACCAGUGGCGAAGGCGGCUCACUGGCCCGAUACUGACGCUGAGGUGCGAAAGCGUGGGGAGCAAACGGG